UAGCCAUGCCGCGUGAGUGAUGAAGGCCUUAGGGUCGUAAAGCUCUUUCGCCUGUGAUGAUAAUGACAGUAGCAGGUAAAGAAACCCCGGCUAACUCCGUGCCAGCAGCCGCGGUAAUACGGAGGGGGUUAGCGUUGUUCGGAAUUACUGGGCGUAAAGCGCGCGUAGGCGGAUUAGAAAGUUGGGGGUGAAAUCCCGGGGCUCAACCCCGGAACCGCCUCCAAAACUGCUAGUCUAGAGCUCGAGAGAGGUGAGUGGAAUUCCGAGUGUAGAGGUGAAAUUCGUAGAUAUUCGGAGGAACACCAGUGGCGAAGGCGGCUCACUGGCUCGAUACUGACGCUGAGGUGCGAAAGUGUGGGGAGCAACCAGGAUUAGAUACCCUGGUAGUCCACACCGUAAACGAUGAAUGCCAGUCGUCGGGUAGUAUACUAUUCGGUGACACACCUAACGGAUUAAGCAUUCCGCCUGGGGAGUACGGUCGCAAGAUUAAAACUCAAAUGAAUUGACGGGG
rnacentral:rRNA from 1 species